UACGUAGGGUGCAAGCGUUGUCCGGAAUUAUUGGGCGUAAAGAGCUCGUAGGCGGUCAGUCGCGUCUGCUGUGAAAACCCGGAGCUCAACUCCGGACCUGCAUCCGAAACUGCCCGACUAGAGGUAGGUAGGGGAGAUCGGAAUUCCUGGUGUAGCGGUGAAAUGCGCAGAUAUCAGGAGGAACACCGGUGGCGAAGGCGGAUCUCUGGGCCUUACCUGGACGCUCGAGGUGCGAAAGCUAGGGGAGCGAACAGG
rnacentral:rRNA from 1 species